rnacentral:lncRNA from 1 species
GCAUUCAACAGACAACCUUUUCUCUAUACAGUGACUUCUUAGAACUGUCCUUGUCUAAAAUGAGACCUUCUGAUCAUUGCUUUAUGGUCUUCAAUGUCUUCUUGACAGCCUGGGGUGAUGUGGGAAGGGAUUCAAAGAAUGUGCGGACUGUUCUAAUUAAAGAACACAAAAUAUAUCACUAGCCUGACAGGUAAGGUCCCUAUUUUGACUGCAAAAGCAAACACUAUUUGUCCUCUGGUGUCUCUCUGUCCCUUGCCCUCUGAGGGUUGAGUGUUAGCCUAAUUGGCUUCCAAGUUUGCAUAACCCUUCAAGCAAUCAGUUUCCAACUUGCCACACCUCCCUUCCCCUCUGAAUUCCAGCAGCUGAGCUCUUGGCAGAUAGAAGUGCAGCCUUCCUGAGCCUUGGUGGCCACACACAGGCAUUCAACAGGCACUCUCUGCAGAAAGACUUCCUGGGGUCUCUGUGCCCAAUAACAUCCCUAUUUACACCCCAACUUUUACUCUGUUCUUUUAACUCUAUUAUAUUAAUAGAGAUAAAAGGAUAAAGAGAUGAAGAGUUGACUGAACACUUAGUACUUUCUCUAUCUGAACUCUCAAAAUAAUACUACAAGAUU